AUCUUUGAUUGUGAGACAGGCCGCGGCGCGAGCGGGGCCUCACACACACUACUGGGGGAAAGCGGUGUGACACGAGAUAACGGGCGCGGAUAGACAAGGAACCACCGGACGACCGCGUACCGGUUCCCACAGUAACGGCCGAGCAAACGAGCACAGAACCGGGUGGCUCGAACCCGCACCGGAGACAUUAAAAACCAGCGGCCGUGCACGCGGUGGAGCGGUUUGUUGGCCAGCCGACUUGCAACGUAGCUAACCAUCGUUAGCAACCGAACCGGGCUAGCAGGCUAGCCAGCUAGCUUCUGCGAGCCACCGGCCGGACGCAUACGCACGCACGUCCGCACGCACACGCGCGCGCGCGCGUUUGUCCACCGCGAACCGGGCCGACGCCGGAUUUCAAGUUGAGCCAAAGAAGAAGAAAAGGCACCGGCGGCAGGUGAGUGUUCGUGUCACACGGGGGAAACGUGUCGGGAGUUUAUGUGCUGGGAGGAUGUGUUGCUGUUAGCACCGGGCUAGCUCUGUUAGCUCGCCUCGGCCACCGGGUCUGGAAGUGAUGGCGACCAGCGAGAAACGAAACUGGGAAACGAGGGCGGCCUGCGCACGCCAUUGUUUUCGUUCCGCAUUUAAAAUGUGGUAUUGAUUGUUAUCGAUGAUCGUGAGAAGCGUCCUCGCGGAGCGGCGAGUGGGCCUCUGCUCGCCGCCCGGGAGCCACCCAGCACACCGCUGUAGUCCGCUUCGUGGAGCCCGGUGGCCUGCAGACCGCCGGUCACCGGUCCACUCAAACCACACAUUUACGUGUCACCGGCAGGACAUCCGGUCAGUUUAUUCUUUUCAUCACGGCUGCUCUUCAGAACCGCACUGGUUUCCCAGUGAGUCUUCAUUUUAAGGAGCACAUCUGUUGUGUAUUUUAACCGGCACAUUUGGGAGCCCGGCUGCAUUGAUGGUGUGAAAAUGUUUAAAUGAUUCUAUUUGUGUGUGUGUGUGUGUGUGUGUGUGUGUGUGUGUGUGUGUGUGUGAGAGAGGUGAUCUGACUAGUUUUGGGGGGAGUCCUUAUUAAUUGGCAUGUCAGUGAUCUGAUCAGCAAAUGUUUUUGUGGCGUCUCAUAAUGAAUUCAAGAAAAAACAGAAACCAAUUACUUACGUAUUGUGAUUUAACACAGAAUCAUUUUAUUUCCUAUAGCCCAAAAUUGCAAAUUACAAAUGUGCCUCAGAGGGCUUUACAGUCUGUACACACAUGAAACCCUCAGCACAGGAAACACUCCCCAAACAAUGAAAACCCUCCAUGGGGAGAAAAGGGAAGAAACCUCAGUGAGAUCCGUAAAAGAUGUAUAAUACCUUCAAUUCAUAUGACAGAGAUGAUUCAAAUAAUUGUGAAUAGUUAGCCAGGCGCACUGCAGGGACCACCACCAUCACGUAGAACCACCAUCCACAGAAACGUGUGGGGAGUGAAAGCACAAAGACUUCAGGAAAGAAGAAAAGUCUGUGAUCUUAAUGUCCCAUCUUUAACUUUGAAGGAUUUCAAAUGUUCCCAGUAGAGGAACCUUGCAGCAGUCGUGGUGAACAUGUGUUGUCUGUGUGUGUUCUGCCUACGAGCCCUCUGCAGUCACUCAAUCAGUCUGAAGCCAUUUGCUGUGUUCUUAUCAGCUGAUGACUCUGAGGUGAAAACACCGGAGGACUAAAGUAGUGAUCAUGGCUGCCUCUUAUUCCACCAGCUAAAC
ensembl:lncRNA